GGAGGGUAGAAAGGACUGCCAAGCAGAGAAAGAAACAUGAACCAGAACCAGCUAAUACAGGAUGGGAGAGUACAUGUGCCAUUAUCAAACACACAGAGGAGUGAAUAAGAAGCAAAGGAUAUUGCCACGGUUUCUACGGGACUGAACAAAGGGGGACCCACACAGGAAUGAAAACUUAAAACAGAACAGCCACUAAGGAAGGCACAGAGGGACUUCCUUUCGGCCUGAAACAGUAUCUGUGCUGCCAAAGUAAUGUAUCUACAUGAUUCAAAAGUUAACAAUAAAAUGAAGAGAUGCCUAGAAAAUCCUGCUUCCUUUAGUGCCUCUUCCUUUGUUUUCCCUCUCAACCCUUUGUAGUUUAUCAACACAACUGUCAGAGAGAUCCUUCAAAAUAUAAAAAAAGAUCAUGUCUCUCCUCGGCCUAGAUAUCCUCUGCUGGCAUUCAUCUCAGGGAAGGAAAAUGUAAAUCUGUACAGGAGCUUCCAAGGACUUAUGAAGCCAACAUGAGUUCCCCGAUGGUUCUGCUGCAGCAACCCUGUCUUCCUGCUCUCACUGAACACAGGAGGCUCAUUCCCAAGUCAAGGCAUUUGCAUUUUCUGUUUCCUUUGCCUGGGAUUUUCUCCCAUCAGAUAUCAGCAUGACUUCUUCUUUAUCUUUUUCCAUCUGUGGUGAAAUAUCAUUUCACCCUCUUUCUUUCACCCACUUUAAAUGUGCAAACCUCCCUAACCUCAGUGUUUCUUAUCCCCUUUCCCUGUUUUAAAAAUAGAGGCUAAUACCGUCUGACAUGCUAUGUGUUUUACUUACUUGUUUAUUGUUACUUUCAUCCUCCAGAACCUAAGAUCUUUGAGUGUGGAGAUUUUGGUCUAUUUUGUUCAUUAGUUUAUCUAUCAAGUCUAAGAAUAUUAUGCAACA